rnacentral:lncRNA from 1 species
GUGUGAAAGAGAAACAAGAGACAGAAGGGAGCGGAAGAGAGAGACGCAGGAGGGAGAUGACGAUUGUUCAUCUUCUCUGACGACGCGUAAUCAUCUUACUGCGGUUGCUUGAUGUUUGUAUCGAUGAUUCUCCUUUUUUGGGCUCUCGAAUGAGGGUUUUCCUGGGUUUUUGUGCUUAAUUUUUGUGCCAUUCUGGUUUGAUCUUAUUCAUUCAGAAGGUUGACAGUUACAGUGGUAUAGAUCUACAUAUUCUGUUAUUUUUUAUGUCAAGUUUGUAUCUUUAAGUUCAAUUUAUCGAUUUUAGUUAAUAAUGGUUCGUCUAACGGAAUGGCGGUGGUGAUUUUGUCAUCGGUUUCGCUCCUCGAUCAUUCGAUCGCUCUCAGAUGGUUCGGGUGUUUGAUGAUGUUUUUUUUUCGACCUUGGUGGUGUUGAAAGAAGGAUGUGGCGACAGAUGUUGUAACUAGUUUUGGUGUGUGCUGCCAGGUCUAGAAGAUGAGGUUCUUCCUCAACUGUACCCAAAUAAUAGAGAGAGACGAGGUCCACAGAUUUUAGAGAGAGAGAGAUACGGUGGAAGGAUCACCGUUUUUGGUGGUGAACCCGGCUGCGCACGACAGCGCCUCUCAAUUCUAGUCAAGUUACGACCAAGGCCCGAUGAACGAAAGUCUACCCUUGUCUUCGAUAAUAAUCUGGGUAUAAUUUUGGUAGAUCGGGUAUGGAGCUCAUGGGAUGCCUCCGCAAGUCGGUGUGGAAGGGAUAACACAAUCACAGAACAAAGAAGAACAAUGCUGCUGGUGAACCCCCAAACCAGAUUUUCCUCCCGUUUUCUGUCAUAUUGAUUUUGUCUAAGCUAAGUUCGAAACAAGGUAGCAGUGACCCAUCUCCGGUUUCUUCGAUUUUCAACAAUUUGAUCAAGCUGAAAUGUUAACUUUUAGUUCAGAUCUUGAUCUUUCUAGAGAAAUCUUUGUGGGUUAUUAUGGGUUUUUAUGGGUUUUCGGUUAUCUGAAUCGGGCCGAUUAGAUUUUAAUGUUUUAUUAUUGUUUCGAUAUGUAUUUUGUGUUUAUUUGUUUGUAGAGAAGAAACAGACAAUUUCUUUUGGAUGAUUUAUGUGGGGAGUAAAGAUGAGAGAAAAGGGCUCAGUUUGAAGUAUAGUUCUGAAGGGGAAAAGAUGGAGUUAGAGACUCAUAUUGAAAAAGGGGAAGCUGAUCUUGAUGUGUCUCUCUUAUAUUGAUUGUUUCAGCUGGAGUCUACAUACCUCACAACUACGACUAUCAACGUAGAUCUGUCACAAACAACAGAGCAUGUAACGAGCUAUCCCGAAAGAAGACCGCAACCAUCUAUAGUUUCUUAUCGGAAUUCUGUAAAAAGAAACCUGUAAGUAGUUGUGAGAUGUGAAAGAAGAAUAAAAGUUUAGGAGUUUAUAUAAUUGAUACAAUCGGGGUACUAUUUAUAUUAUUUUGUUGGCAUUGAUUGCAUAACUAUAGUUUGUUAAUUUGAUCGAGUGCAUGUAACUUUCGUUGCCCGAUGCGCAACGCGCACGGGCUACUCUUCUAGUUUAAAAUACAAUCCUCAUGUUUAGUUAUCAUCAAUCGUGUAAUUGUUACAUUCUACACGUGUUCAUCUAUUGCUAGCAUAC